AGCGCUCCGAAAGCUAGUGCUUCCAAUUAACUUGCUGGACUGUAACCUGGUGUUGUGAGACUUUUUCAAACUUUGUACACCCCAGUCCAACACCCGCGUCUCCAAAUCACGAAAUUGGCAGAGGCAGCAUCUGUGGUGGGAGAAACAGAGUUAACGUUUGGAGACCGGUGACUCUUGAGAACAGUAGCCAACUUUCCCCAUUGCAAUGAGCUCAGUACGCGGGUGUUUCCCUGAUGCUGCUUAAGACAACAUAUUGGCCAGUUGCUAACUCACUGACCGGAAGAAUGGCGACAAUCCCAUCUGACUGGUAGACCGUGAGGAAAGUUAGGAGAAAGUGAGGACUGCAGGUGCUCAGAUCCGAGUCCAGAGUGUGGUGCUGGAAAAGCAUAGCCGGUUGAAUUGCUUCAUGAGAAUCUACAUACAACCAUAAGAAUCAUGAGCAGGAAUAGUCUACUCAACCCACCUAUGCCAUUCAAUAAAAUCUAAUUAUAGUC